CACAUCUGGAUCAGGUAACCUGCAGGCUGAGUCAUGGAAAGGUAAAAGAAGGAAAGGAUCAUGGCUCAUCUUCCCACCAAUCAAAAGACAGCGAUGAAAGAAGAAAAAAGAAUAAUCAAUUCAGGGAAACCAUUGCAGUUUUUACAUUUUUGUCAUGACUUAAACACAAAGUAAGUAUUGCAAAUACUUAAAUACUUGAGUUUUUCUCUGGCCAAACUGGAAACUCAUUCAUUGAAAUUUCGAGAGGCUGUUCUGACCAUUAACAUUUUUAUCAUCAGUAAAAGCGAGCAAAAAAGAGUUCAUCUGAGGGGAAACAAGGCCUUGAAAUCACAGUAUUCUUUGAAAGUGUGGGUCCACUCGUCUUGACUCUCUGAGGAAGUGAAACUGAUGCGGAGCUUGCCUUCCUUUUGCAUUGUCCUCACUGGAAACAUUCAACAAUCCUGUGGAGAUGCAUAACACCUCCAUCUGAAAUCUCUCUGAUGCUUUAGAAGAAACUUACGUCUAUCAAAAUAGACCAACAUCUGUGCCGAAAUUCCAAGGAGAAUUGCAGAAGAAUUAUCUCAGCAUUUGUUGGUUCUUCUCAUGAUGAAAUGGCAAGAUGGGGAAAUCUUGGAAAAUGUCCUGUGUGAUUAAUAAUUAGUCAUCACCAGUGGUCUAUCAAUUGUAGUGCACUUUGUAUUGGUGGUAAUAAUCACUGGGUUAACUGGCUCCAGCAUUGUUUAGAGAUCAAAUGUUCUAGGGUGAAGAACCAACGAAAUAGCUUCUGUUGUUGACCUGAAGUGAUGAUCGUCAAUUCAGAAUGGGUCUAAGUCGUUUGUCAGGAGCCUGCAGAGAUUUGGCAUGCCAUCAAAAACCUUGGCAAACGUCUGUAGAUGAGUGGUGGAAAAUGUGCCGACUGGUUGUAUUAUGGCCCUGGAUUGGG